UGGCCUCUCUCCCCUUGAGAACUCAGCCGGAAAAGAUGCCAACACUCUACAGGAUAGAUAAGACAGCCCCAACCCAUUCCCCACCACGGUCUCACCUCGCUAAUGCCUGAGAAGUUGGCCCAACAUAGCUGACUCUUGGCCGUCAGGGAGACACGGGAAGGAUGGCCUUCGAGUGAGGCUGGGAGAGCCUUAGGCUGGGAGGCAGGGGCUCUUCCUGGCCACAGGGGAAGGCUGCUCCCUUUUGGCUUCCUCUCUUACAGCUCGAAACACACACAGCGAUGGGACCAGACCACGGCACAAUGCUGGCCUCGCUGCCCUCAACCACUCAGCUGGAAGGAAGAGCUGCCAACGCUCUACAGGACAGUUAAGAUCGCCCCAACCCACACCCACCAGGCUCUAACAGCAAGCAGGAAGGUGACACGAUUGGGCCAGGACAGGAGUGACCGCUCCAUCAGCAUGACUGGACACGGACGGACGUGGUGAGACCUCAAGCCCCUCGGGCAGAGAGGCAGGGGCUGCCCGUGGUCACAGGGGGAUGCUGCUCCGUUUGGUGCUUCUCCUCUUUCAGCCAGAUACACACAGCGAUGGGACCAGACACUCCUGGCCUCUCUCCCCUUGAGAACUCAGCUGGAAGGAAGAGCUUCCAACGCUGUACAGGACAGAUAAGCAAUCCCCAACCCACACCCCACCAUGGUCUCACAGCAUGCCAGAAGAUGGCAUGGUUGGCCUAUGAUGGGCAUCUCCUGGCUGUCAGGGAGACGUGAGAUGGAUGGUCUUGGAGUGAGGCUGGGAGAGCCUCACUGAGGGAUGCAGGGGCUGACCCUGGCAAUGGUCUGGGGCUACUCUUUUGGAUCAUUUUCCUUUCUCACCCUAUCACAGAGCCCCGAGCACACCAACGUCUGCCACUGUCCUUUCCCUCCUCUGCCCAAUCCCUCUGUGGCCACUGACCUGAAGGCUGGUGCAGCUUUCUACAACCACAGCCACCGGAGGAACAGGAAGCACAAAAGGACCCUGUCUCUACCUGGCCAUAGUCCUACAAGCACACCAACUGCCCCACGGCUAUGGGCAAAGAGAGCUUGGCACGCCUCCGUGCCACCCCACCCCACCCCACAUCUUUCUCAAACGUUGCUCAAAUAAAGGUUCUGAUUCACAACCUCA